GACGAACGCUGGCGGCGUGCUUAACACAUGCAAGUCGAACGGAAAGGCCCUGCUUGCAGGGUACUCGAGUGGCGAACGGGUGAGUAACACGUGGGGGAUCUGCCCUGCACUUCGGGAUAAGCCUGGGAAACUGGGUCUAAUACCGCAUAGGAGCCAUGUUUAGUGUGAUGGUUGGAAAGUUUUUUCGGUGUAGGAUGAGCUCGCGGCCUAUCAGCUUGUUGGUGGGGUAAUGGCCUACCAAGGCGGCGACGGGUAGCCGGCCUGUGAGGGUGGACGGCCACAUUGGGCCUGGGGUACGGCCCAGCCUCCUACGGGAGGCAGCUGUGGGGAAUGUUGCACCAUGGGCGCCAGCCUGAUGCAGCGACGCCGCGUGGGGGAUGACGGCCUUCGGGUUGUCAACUACUUUCGCUAGGGACGAAGCUUUUUGUGACGGUACCUAGAUAAGAAGCACCGGCUAACUACGUG
rnacentral:rRNA from 1 species